rnacentral:rRNA from 1 species
CCUACGGGAGGCAGCAGUGAGGAAUAUUGGUCAAUGGGCGCGAGCCUGAACCAGCCAAGUCGCGUGAGGGAAGACGGUACUAUGGAUUGUAAACCUCUUUUGUAGGGGAGCAAAAGACGCCACGCGUGGCGUUCCGAGAGUACCCGAAGAAACAGCAUCGGCUAACACCGUGCCAGCAGCCGCGGUAAUACGGGGGAUGCGAGCGUUAUCCGGAUUGAUUGGGUGUAAAGGGUGCGAAGGCGGAAGAUCAAGUCAGCGGUAAAAUUGAGUGGCUCAACCUCUUCGAGCCGUUGAAACUGGUUUUCUUGAGUGAGCGAGAAGUAUGCGGAAUGCGUGGUGUAGCGGUGAAAUGCAUAGAUAUCACGCAGAACUCCGAUUGCGAAGGCAGCAUACCGGCGCUCAACUGACGCUCAUGCACGAAAGUGUGGGUAUCGAACAGGAUUAGAUACCCGAGUAGUC